UUUUUUUUUUUUUUUUGAGAAUUGAAGGCUUAUCACUGCAUCUUAUGUAGGCCAGGCUGGUAUCAGACUUAUUAAAUAGCCAAGGCUAUCUUCCUUGCCUCCACUCUUCUGCUUGGAUUAUAGAUGUGUGCUAUGAUACCUGACAUAGCAUUUUUGUAGUAAGUUAAAUAUAAACUGUUGGUAUACAUUUACUGGACAUCUUUAUUAAAUUGUGCUGUGUAGCAUUGCCCAAAGUAAUGACCUGCCCCUUAACAGGCUUAAGUUUAGCUAUAUCUCUGUUAAACUGCUCUGUAAAAUGUUUUCACUCUUUCCAGGUAAUACUAAGUUCCAAUUAGUCUUUGCAAAUUUAGUCAUGUUGAGACAUAAGAAGUCAUGUAAACACAGCCUUCAAAUUCUGCCAUUCUUGAAGGGGUAACUAAUUUUGUGUUCCGAGUGCAGGUUAGAGGUUGUGUUAAAUAAGAGCAGGUGUUUUUAACUGAGCUCAUUGACCUGUUUUUAUUGUCUGAUUAUUUUUCCUACUUAUAAGCCAUGAAAUAUUUUAAAUGAAAAGCAAAGAAACAUUCCAGUUGGAAGGAAGAUAGCCUUAAUUUUUUUUCAUAUCUGGGAAAUUAAGAAUGUGUGCCUAAACAUUUAUAGGAUUUUUAUGUCCUUAAAUAUUGUGACUUCUUUGUUCCCUGUCUCAUCUGACAGACUUUCUACUCCAGUAAACUCCGUAUUAUUUAUGAUAGAACUAACGAGCUCUGAAACACUUUUCAGAAAGGUUUGUUAAUGUUCUGUGGCUUCUUUGAAUGACCACUACUCUUUUUUUAAAAGGCGGGGUCUUAAUAGCCAAGGUGAGCCUUGAACUUUUACCUCCCCAUUCCUAGGAUACCAAAGAAGGAAGAAACACCUUACCUAACUUAGUUUUAAUGUAAAAUUAUUCAAAGGCUCCCUAAAGUGGCUCAUGCCUAUAAUCUCACUGCAUAGCGACUGUCGGAGCCCAGCCUGGGCCGCAGAGUGAGACUAUGUCUCACAAAGACGAAGAGAAUUAACAACAAUACAAUCCUAAAGGAGCAAACCAACAAAAACCCAAAAACCAGGGAGACAGCAAAGGAAACAACUAAGCUAGGUUUUAAACACAGGAAAAAUAGCUGCUACUUGAAUUGUAUGUUUUUUCUAUUGCUGUCAUAAAAUAUCAUGACCCAAAAUAAAUUUAAAUAAGAAAGGGUUGACUUAGCUUACAGUUUCAGAGGAUGAGUGUGCAUAAUGUUGGGGAAUAGCCUCAGCAUCAGAAAGUAAGGCAAGGCUAAACCCUGCAAGCCUACCAAUAUUUGUCCUCCAACAAGGCCCCAUUUCCUAAAGGUCUCAUGUUACACCAACCUCCUAAAGGGGACCAACUGGGGACCAAGUGUUCAAAUGUGUGAGUCUGGAAGACAUUACUCAUCUAAACCACCUCAUCCAUGCUUAAGGUCUACAUUUAUAGUGUAUAGAAAAAUGUUAGGGAGAAUACAACUUUUAAAAGAAUAAAUGUUGAAUCAAUCAUAAAAAUAGAAGGUUCACAGUAGUUUACAGUAUAAUCAUGGUUAUAUUGUACAGUAAUGUAUAAGAUAUUUCAAAACCUAAUUUUAGAAUUUCACUAGAUAAAUAUGUAUGUUUCCAAGUAGUAUAAAAUUUACUUGAUUCCUUAGGCAGUUUUUCUAUUUUCUAUCUUGAUAUUUCAAAAGACCUUAGAAUCAGAGUUUCUCAAAAAUCACACUAAAUUUGUCCUGCUAAACUAUUUGUAUCUGUAAUUGAAUUUUACUAUAAGAAAUAAAUAAAGAAAACACAGCACGGUAGUUAUGCCUGUAAUCCCAGCAUUCUGGAAACUGAAGCAGGAACAUUAUGAGUAGGACACCAACAUGAGUUCAAUUCCCAGCAACCACAUGGUGGCUCACAACCACCUGUAUUGAGAUCUGAUGCUCUCUUCUGGUGUACUCAUAUAAAUAAAAAUAAAUCUUUAAAAAAAAAAGAGAGAUUAUUGGUUAAUUACUUUUUUAAAAGGUUGAUUUAUUUCAAUUUUGACUUUUCUUACCUAACUGGUGUCUUUUGAUUAGUAAAGAGAGCUGCCUCCAGGAGAAUUGGUUUGCUGGUAGAUAUACAGAAACCAUCUAACAAAUUACUAGAUUAAAACAAUCUUUUCAUAGUUAAUUAAUGGUGGUCAAAAAAGAAAGCUUUUGUUCUGAUAUUGAAAGAUAAAGAAAUGGUUUAACUUGAUUUUUUUUAACAACUUGUUUGAAAUUAUUUCCUGUUCCAUCCUGUUAUUCAGCCAAUAACUAUAAUUCAUAAGUCUAUUUCAGUAGGGUUUUUCUAGUUUUAAAAAUUAUUUACAGGGUGGUGAUGGUGGUGCACACCUUUAACCCCAACACUUGGGAGGCAGAGGAGGAUGGAUCUCUGAGUUUUGAGGCUAGCCUAGAUAGACUACAGAAAGAGUUCCAGGACAGCCAGGGCUUGCUACACAGAGAAACCAUGUAUGGGGGAAAAAUGAUGAUUUAAUGCUGUUAGAAGACAGUGUGUUAACUGAAGUAACUUAAAAGCACAUCU
rnacentral:lncRNA from 1 species